rnacentral:rRNA from 1 species
CGCGUAGGUGGUUGCGUCAGUCGGAUGUGAAAUCCCCAGGCUUAACCUGGGAACUGCAUCCGAUACUGCGUGACUCGAGUGCAGCAGAGGGAAACGGAAUUCCUGGUGUAGAGGUGAAAUUCGUAGAUAUCAGGAGGAACACCGGUGGCGAAGGCGGUUUCCUGGGCUGACACUGACACUGAGGCGCGAAAGCGUGGGUAGCAAACAGGAUUAGAUACCCUGGUAGUCCACGCUGUAAACGGUGAGUGCUGGGUGUGGGGGGUGUAAUGCCUUCUGUGCCGAAGCUAACGCGUUAAGCACUCCGCCUGGGGAGUACGGCCGCAAGGUUGAA